CCCUUAGAUGUUCUGGGCCGCACGCGCGCUACACUGACGAAUGCAACGAGCUUAUAACCUUGGCCGAAAGGUCUGGGUAAUCUCCAAAUUUCGUCGUGAUGGGGAUAGAUUAUUGCAAUUAUUAAUCUUCAACGAGGAAUGCCUAGUAAGCGCAAGUCAUCAGCUUGCGUUGAUUACGUCCCUGCCCUUUGUACACACCGCCCGUCGCUCCUACCGAUUGAAUGGUCCGGUGAAGCGUUCGGACCGUGGCCUUUGGACGGUUCGCCGUCUGUUGGCUGCGGGAAGUUCGUUAAACCUUAUCAUUUAGAGGAAGGAGAAGUUGUANCA
rnacentral:rRNA from 1 species